AAAAUUCCUUUUCUGCCCCUUAAAACUUUGUAGUACUCCUGGCCGGAUACAAUGGCUCAUACCUGUAAUCCAGGACUUUGGGAGGCCGAGGGGGCAGGAUUGCUUGAGUCCAGGAGUUGGAGACCAGCCUGGACAACAUGGUGAGAUUCGGUCUCCACAAAAAAUUUUAAAAAUUAGCUGGGCGUGGUGGCAUGCAGAGGUGCAUGCCAGAGGUGGUCCCAGCUACUCGGGAGCCUGAGGUGGGAGGAUCGCUGAAGCCCAGGAAGCUGAGGCUGAGGUGCAUACCACCACACUCCAGCCUGGGCGACAGCAAGACCCUGUCUAACACACACACACACACCCAACACACACACACGGACACCCUAACACACACAUACACACACCCUAACACACACCCUGUGUAAAACAACACUCUCAACCCUGUCUAAAAAACACACACUCCCUAAAACACACACACCCAUCUCACACACAUGCACUCACCCUAACACACACACCCUAACACACAUACACACCGUCUAAAACACACACACCCCCGUCUCACACACAUGCACUCAAACACACAUACACACCCUAACACACAUACACAUCGUCUAAAAUACACACCCCCGUCUCACACACAUGCACUCAAACACACACACCCUAACACACACACCCCAUCACACGCACACACCCUAACACACAUACACCCUGAUUCACACACAUACAACCUGUCUAAAACACACACCCUAACACACACUCUAACACACACAUACACACAGACACUUUGUGGUAUUCCUGAGACAUUCAACCACUGCAGAGCAUUAUUUAAAUGCCAUAAAAAUGCAUCUUUAUGGAUCAUUUCUAUAUUAAAAUAUAAUAAUCUUGGCGGCCACAAUAGUUAAAAUAAACAGAUUCAAGAUCAAAUAAAGUUAGAGCAGAAC
rnacentral:lncRNA from 1 species